CUGACAAAGUGGAGCCGACAUGUACUCUUGUCACUGACCGCCUCUGAAAUAGAUGCUUCGAAACCCCACUUGGGGGUAGUUGAAGAGCGCAUAUUAAUCUUCUCACGCAUUUGAACCUGUGCAUCUCAAGGACUGGUGAAAUUAACAGACAGCUGCGGCUAGGCAAGAUCGUACUAAGAUGCGGCGUGCAAGAAUGACUUCACGUAAGGCCCGCAUCGGAGAGCGCCCCAAAUUUUGAAGCGGUCGCAACCUGUUUUUUUCAGAAAGAGGAGAGAUCGCCCAUAAGGCCUGGAUGACCUGACAGAUUUCAUUGGGCUCAUAGCGCUU